rnacentral:tRNA from 1 species
AUUUCUUAUUCAAAUUUAUGAUAUUAAAUUGCAAAUUUAAAGGUACAAUAAUAUUAGUAGAAAUUUU